rnacentral:rRNA from 1 species
UAUACAGGUCUGGCAAUUGGAAUGAGAACAAUUUAAAUCCCUUAUCGAGUAUCAAUUGGAGGGCAAGUCUGGUGCCAGCAGCCGCGGUAAUUCCAGCUCCAAUAGCGUAUAUUAAAGUUGUUGCGGUUAAAAAGCUCGUAGUUGGAUUUCUGCCGAGGACGACCGGUCUGCCCAUUGGGUACGUAUCUGGCUCGGCCUGGGCAUCUUCUUGGAGAACGUAUCUGCACUUGACUGUGUGGUGCGGUAUCCAGGACUUUUACUUUGAGGAAAUUAGAGUGUUUCAAGCAGGCACACGCCUUGAAUACAUUAGCAUGGAAUAAUAAGAUAGGACCUCGGUUCUAUUUUGUUGGUUUCUAGAGCUGAGGUAAUGAUUAAUAGGGAUAGUUGGGGGCAUUCGUAUUUAACUGUCAGAGGUGAAAUUCCUGGAUUUGUUAAAGACGGACUACUGCGAAAGCAUUUGCCAAGGAUGUUUUCAUUGAUCAAGAACGAAAGUUAGGGGAUCGAAGACGAUCAGAUACCAUCCUAGUCUCAACCAUAAACGAUGCCGACUAGGGAUUGCAGGAUGUUAAUUGAUGACUCCUGCAGCACCUUAUGAGAAAUCAAAGUUUUU